AGACCCGAAACCCGGUGAUCUAGCCAUGGGCAGGUUGAAGGUUGGGUAACACUAACUGGAGGACCGAACCGACUAAUGUUGAAAAAUUAGCGGAUGACCUGUGGCUGGGGGUGAAAGGCCAAUCAAACCGGGAGAUAGCUGGUUCUCCCCGAAAGCUAUUUAGGUAGCGCCUCGUGAAUUCAUCUCCGGGGGUAGAGCACUGUUUCGGCUAGGGGGCCAUCCCGGCUUACCAACCCGAUGCAAACUGCGAAUACCGGAGAAUGUUAUCACGGGAGACACACGGCGGGUGCUAACGUCCGUCGUGAAGAGGGAAACAACCCAGACCGCCAGCUAAGGUCCCAAAGUCAUGGUUAAGUGGGAAACGAUGUGGGAAGGCCCAGACAGCCAGGAUGUUGGCUUAGAAGCAGCCAUCAUUUAAAGAAAGCGUAAUAGCUCACUGGUCGAGUCGGCCUGCGCGGAAGAUGUAACGGGGCUAAACCAUGCACCGAAGCUGCGGCAGCGAACGUAUCACCCAAGACAACUUUACGGAGUUGACGAUUGACGGAGCGAAGCGACGUCAAAGCGUUCAUUAAAGUCGAGUUGGCUUAGGGAUACGUUCGUUGGGUAGGGGAGCGUUCUGUAAGCCUGUGAAGGUGGCCUGUGAGGGUUGCUGGAGGUAUCAGAAGUGCGAAUGCUGACAUAAGUAACGAUAAAGCGGGUGAAAAGCCCGCUCGCCGGAAGACCAAGGGUUCCUGUCCAACGUUAAUCGGGGCAGGGUGAGUCGACCCCUAAGGCGAGGCCGAAAGGCGUAGUCGAUGGGAAACGGGUUAAUAUUCCCGUACUUGGUGUUACUGCGAAGGGGGGACGGAGAAGGCUAUGUUGGCCGGGCGACGGUUGUCCCGGUUUAAGCGUGUAGGUGUGUGUUCCAGGUAAAUCCGGUUCACUUUAACACUGAGGCGUGAUGACGAGGC
rnacentral:rRNA from 1 species